rnacentral:rRNA from 1 species
UACGGGAGGCAGCAGUGGGGAAUAUUGCACAAUGGGCGAAAGCCUGAUGCAGCUAUGCCGCGUGUAUGAAGAAGGCCUUAGGGUUGUAAAGUACUUUCAUCGGGGAGGAAAAAACAAAACUAAUAAUUUUAUUUCUUGACGUUACCCGAAAAAGAAGCACCGGCUAACUCCGUGCCAGCAGCCGCGGUAAUACGGAGGGUGCUAGCGUUAAUCAGAAUUACUGGGCGUAAAGAGCACGUAGGUGGUUUUUUAAGUUCAGAUGUGAAAUCCCUGGGCUUAACCUGGAACUGCAUUUUGAAACUGAAAUACUAGAGUAUCGUAGAGGGAGGUAGAAUUCUAGGUGUAGCGGUGAAAUGCGUAGAUAUCUGGAGGAAUACCUGUGGCGAAAGCGGCCUCCUAAACGAAUACUGACACUGAGGUGCGAAAGCGUGGGGAGCAAACAGGGAUUAGAUACCCGU